rnacentral:rRNA from 1 species
AUGACCAUGCCGUGGGGGCUGGCGGCCUACAUGGUGGACAUGGUGUGGGCGGUGCUCGCCGGGUGGGUGUCGGCAUGCCAGCUGGUCGCCAACGAGAUCGCCCGCGGCAUGCGGGCCGGAGAGAUUGGCCCCUUCGUCGUGGGGUGA